UAGGGAAUCUUCCACAAUGGGCGAAAGCCUAGGAUGGAGCAACGCCGCGUGUGUGAUGAAGGGUUUCGGCUCGUAAAACACUGUUGUAAGAGAAGAAUGACAUUGAGAGUAACUGUUCAAUGUGUGACGGUAUCUUACCAGAAAGGAACGGCUAAAUACGUGCCAG
rnacentral:rRNA from 1 species